GUCAUUAUUGAAAUGUCGACACGAGUUGUUGCUGGCCCUCAAAUGUGGGGGCAUGUGCACGCUCUGUUUACAAAUCCACUCACACCUGUGCACCCUCAGUAGUUCUAUGGUAUGGAGGACACUGUCCUCUGACCACGGUUCUACGUCUUUACACACACACACACAGUGACAAAGUCUAAUGGGAUGUAUGUAGCGUUUAACGCAAUAUAAUACAACUUUCAGCAACGGAUCUCUUGGCUCUCGCAUCGAUGAAGAACGCAGCGAAAUGCGAUAAGUAAUGUGAAUUGCAGAAUUCAGUGAAUCAUCGAAUCUUUGAACGCACCUUGCGCCCUUUGGCUAUUCCGAAGGGCAUGCCUGUUUGAGUAUCAUGAACACCUCAACCCUCAUGGUUUACCAUGGUGGGCUUGGACUUUGGGGGUCUUGCUGGAUUGUAGUCAGCUCCCCUUAAAUGAAUCAGCUUGCCAGUGUCUGGUGGCAUCACAGGUGUGAUAAUUAUCUACGCUUGUGGUUUUACAUCAGGUAACCUUCAGAGAUGGGGGUUCACUGGGGCUCACAAAAAGGUCUCUCCUCAACGAGGAUGAUGGCUCUUUGAAUGUUUGAUCUCAAAUCAGGUAGGACUACCCGCUGAACUUAA
rnacentral:rRNA from 1 species